AUUGAACGCUGGCGGCAUGCCUUACACAUGCAAGUCGAACGGCAGCACGGGUGCUUGCACCUGGUGGCGAGUGGCGAACGGGUGAGUAAUACAUCGGAACAUGUCCUGUAGUGGGGGAUAGCCCGGCGAAAGCCGGAUUAAUACCGCAUACGAUCUACGGAUGAAAGCGGGGGACCUUCGGGCCUCGCGCUAUAGGGUUGGCCGAUGGCGGAUUAGCUAGUUGGAGGGGUAAAGGCCUACCAAGGCGACGAUCAGUAGCUGGUCUGAGAGGACGACCAGCCACACUGGGACUGAGACACGGCCCAGACUCCUACGGGAGGCAGCAGUGGGGAAUUUUGGACAAUGGGCGAAAGCCUGAUCCAGCAAUGCCGCGUGUGUGAAGAAGGCCUUCGGGUUGUAAAGCACUUUUGUCCGGAAAGAAAUCCUUGGCCCUAAUACGGUCGGGGGAUGACGGUACCGGAAGAAUAAGCACCGGCUAACUACGUG
rnacentral:rRNA from 1 species